rnacentral:miRNA from 1 species
UGAGCUCAGUAUGUAUGUAUGUAUGUAUGUAUGUAUGUAUGUAUGUAUGUAUUUAUACAUACAUACAUACAUACAUACCCUGCCUA